rnacentral:misc_RNA from 1 species
AUGUCGCUUAGUUCUGAACGAAGGAAUGAUGAGUGGAGUGGGGAGAAAAACGGUCCUGAAAAGGAGCCUCCAAGCUACGAUGGCCCACCAGGAAUGGACCCUGAUGGUGUCAUUGAAUCUAACUGGGAAGAAGUGGUUGACAAUUUUGAUGAUAUGAAUCUAAAAGAAGAACUUUUAAGAGGAAUUUAUGCUUAUGGUUUUGAAAAGCCUUCUGCUAUUCAACAAAGAGCUAUUAUGCCAUGUGUUAAAGGACAUGAUGUGAUAGCACAAGCACAAUCAGGGACAGGAAAAACAGCUACUUUCUCAAUAUCUAUCCUACAGCAAAUUGACACUUCUCUAAGGGAGUGCCAAGCAUUAAUUUUAGCCCCAACACGUGAAUUGGCCCAACAAAUUCAAAAAGUUGUUAUAGCAUUGGGUGAUUUUAUGUCUGCUCAGUGUCAUGCAUGCAUUGGUGGGACUAAUGUUAGAGAGGAUAUGAGGAAGUUAGAACACGGGGUUCAUGUGGUAGUGGGUACUCCUGGUAGAGUGUAUGACAUGAUUAGUCGAAGAGCUUUACGUACUCAGUUCAUUAAGAUGUUUGUUUUGGAUGAAGCUGAUGAAAUGUUGUCAAGAGGUUUCAAGGAUCAAAUUCAUGACGUAUUUAAAAUGUUAAAUGCUGACGUUCAGGUUAUCUUGCUGUCAGCCACAAUGCCGUCAGACGUAUUGGAUGUAACAAAGUCAUUUAUGAGGAAUCCUAUUCGUAUUUUAGUUAAAAAAGAAGAAUUGACAUUGGAGGGUAUUAAACAGUUUUAUGUUUUUGUGGAAAGGGAAGACUGGAAAUUGGAGACACUCUGUGAUCUUUAUGACACAUUGUCCAUUACUCAGGCUGUUAUUUUUUGCAAUACAAGGCGCAAGGUUGAUUGGUUGACUGAGAACAUGCACAAAAGAGACUUCACUGUUUCAGCUAUGCAUGGAGACAUGGAACAACGAGAGAGAGAUGUCAUCAUGAGGCAGUUUCGUACUGGUUCCUCUAGGGUUCUCAUUACAACUGACCUGUUAGCUCGUGGUAUUGAUGUACAACAGGUGUCCCUUGUAAUUAAUUAUGAUUUGCCUUCAAAUAGAGAAAAUUAUAUACACAGAAUUGGUCGUGGUGGUCGUUUUGGUAGAAAAGGAGUCGCCAUCAAUUUCGUGACGGAGGUCGAUAAGCGUACUCUAAAAGAUAUCGAACAAUUUUAUAACACUCAUGUGGACGAGAUGCCAAUGAAUGUGGCGGACCUGAUUUAAGCGACGCCACCCCCGCCCCGUCCGCUACAUCAGUUGUACCGGCGCCGUUGUCGUCGUUCACUCGUUGUGGUGGUCGUCUAGAGUUUUUUCUAAUUAUAUGGUGCUGACACAACACCGAAGCAGGAUGUUCCAUAAACCAUUCAACAGCGGUUUUGCUUCUUUUUUAACUAAAAAAUUACAUUCUAAGUUCAAAAUGUACUGUAAUAUACACCACAUUAAGUUAUGUUGUCCAGUUUUUACACUUUGAUCUAUAAAUAAAUGAUAAUGUUGCUGUAAUAA